UGGCUCAGGUGGUAAAGCAUCUGCCUGCAAUGCGGGAGACCCAGGUUCAAUUCCUGG
rnacentral:tRNA from 1 species